GUUGUCGCGUCCUGCUAUUUAAUAUAAUAUUUUACAUGAACUAAUAAGUAUAACUAACUUUAAGUAUCUUUAAUGCGUAUUCGUGCUCUGGUACACUAGAUUCCAUAUUUCUAUAGACCACGGAAUAUAAUUUACCGCAUCUACAGAUACGUAUAAUACCUACUAACUGAAGUUAACUACAAAACAAAAUAAGUUGCAAACCAAGUGAAUAACAUUUUGGGAAGUACGACAAAUUUGAUAUUAUUUGCAGUUAUAAUAGUAAUUACAAAUUGAUAUAACAUAGUAAAAGAGAUGGAUUCUGUAAAACAUGUUAUACCAUGGAUAAGUGGCCAAAAGGAAGUUCUGAAAUCCAACUGAUGUGAAUCUAAAUUAUAUAUAAACAGCUGUCAUACUCCCAGUUUAAUUCAAGUCCUACAAAGUCUACACAGAGAAGGAGUGUUAUGUGCUAUUAAGUUUGAAACAGAAGACGGUGUAAUAGUGUAUGUACAUAAAGUUGUUUUAGUAUCAGCUAGUCCAUACUUCCGUGCAAUGUUCACCAAUUUUGCUAAAAGGGAUGGAGAUGUUGUAGAUUUAGACAAUUCUUUGAAACAUUUGCUUAUGGUGAUGAAAUGCAACACAAUAUAGAUUUUUAUAUGGUAUUUUCGGUAUACCUACCAUAGUUUUGUUUCCAGCUGCUAAUCUCUUACAGUUGAAUCAUGUAAAAUGUGUAUCUGUUGACUUUUUACAAAAACAUCUGAAUCCUUCAAAUUGUUUUGGUAUUAAAGGAUUUGCUGACUUUUAUAACUGCAUGGAAUUGUCUUCAAGUUCUGAAGAAUACAUAUAAACAAAUUUUUUAAAACUGGUUGAUGCUGGUGAAUUCCUAUCUUUGUCUUCUGAAGAAAUGAUAAAUCUAAUCUCUCGUGAUGACAUUAACGGUCUAUUUGAAGAAAAAUGCAGAGGUUUUUGACAGGAGUAUUCAAGAAUGGCGAUUAAUAUCUAAUAUGUCUACUGAGAGAGGGGACCCUGGUUUGAAUGCUAUAAUCCCAGCCUUGACACGUGGACACCAGUCACACAAAUGUCUACAAAACGCCGUGCCCCUGUUAUAGGAGUCUUAGACGGUGUAAUGUAUGCUAUUGGUGGUGCCUGUCAGGAACUCGGAAGUUCAGUGUAUCUUAAAAGUGUUGAGACCUAUUCACCAUUUACUAAAGUUUUGUCUCCUAUCAAAGAUAUGCACUUGUCCAGAUUCAAUUCAAGUGUUGUGACAUUUAAGGGUUUGUUCUAUGUUAUUGGCGGAUCUGAUGAAUUUUUGGACUCUGUAGAAAUCUAUGACCCUAAAACCAAUACCUGGAUCUUGGAACCAUGGCCGAGAAGUUUAGUGAAUGUUUAUGAGGCAGUAAUAUUUGAUAUGCCAUCACAUUUGAGAAUAUAUUAGCUUAUGCAUGGUCUCCUUGUUGGUUGUUGUAUAUAUUAUAUUCAUAUUAAUUUAUAAUUCAUGAACACGUGUUAAGUAUUUUCUACAUUUUUGAUUUUGGGAAUUUUGUAUUAAGCCACUUUGAUCGCCACUGGACGUCAAUGUUUUAAUAUAAGUUUUAGCUUAUUAUAAUUAAUUUGUUCGUUUAUUUGUGAUCGGUGUA